AUGGCCGCCGGCGCGACCCAGCCCUUGCGUGGCGCGGCCGGUCCAAAAUCUUCAAGCCCACCCUCGGCUGCUCCCGAGGAGGUCCCUCGCCACCACGCCGCUUCCUUCCUCCAAUGCUGCAGUGCACAAGCUAUUCAUCUUCGUCGCCCAUGUCCAUCCAAGUAUUGUCACCAUUCGCUCCUACCUGAACUUCAUUGGGUACCCGUGGCGGCCUUCAUUGCGUGCGUCCGCCCCUCCUGUCUUCAUCCCCAAAGCCGCCGCCUCGACCCCAGGUGGCUCCUUCCCUGUCGGAUUGCUCGGGGAUCCAGCUCGUGCAGCCCGUCUCCAUUGGCUCAACUGUGUACUCAGUUCGGCCGCUGCAUUUGCACUGGCACUGGCAGGGUCAGUGGCAGGGACGCGAUGGAAGCAUGCUUGCCGCGCCUUGCAGCAACACUUCCGCAGUGGCCGGCGCCGGCUUCUGGUUAUGGCUGGGUUGGUUUGUUGGUUGUUGAGUGCCACUGCCACUACCUGGAG
rnacentral:rRNA from 1 species